rnacentral:rRNA from 1 species
GACGAACGCUGGCGGCGUGCUUAACACAUGCAAGUCGAACGAAGUGGCGAACGGGUGAGUAACGCGUAAUCAACCUGCCCUUCAGUGGGGGACAACAGUUGGAAACGAAUGCUAAUACAGCAUACUGAAGGAGGGGAUUGCGUCUUAGUAGCUAGUGGGAGGGGUAACGGCACACCCAGGCGAUGAUAAGUAGCCGGUCUGAGAGGAUGAACGGCCACAUUUGGACUGAGACACGGCCCAGACUCCUACGGUAGGCAGCAGUGGGGACUCUUCCGCAAUGGACGAAAGUCUGACGGAGCAACGCCGCGGGAGUGAUGACGGCCUUCGGGUUGUAAAGCUCUGUUAAUCGGGACGCGUUACCGGAAUAGAAAGCCACGGCUAACUACGUGCCAGCCGCCGCGGUAAUAC